rnacentral:rRNA from 1 species
UACAGAGGGGGCAAGCGUUAUUCGGAAUUAUUGGGCGUAAAGAGCGUGUAGGCGGCUAGAUAGGUCCGUUGUGAAAACUCGAGGCUCAACCUCGAGACGUCGAUGGAAACCAUCUGGCUAGAGUCCGGAAGAGGAGAGUGGAAUUCCUGGUGUAGCGGUGAAAUGCGCAGAUAUCAGGAAGAACACCCGUGGCGAAGGCGGCUCUCUGGUACGUGACUGACGCUGAGACGCGAAAGCGUGGGGAGCAAACAGG